rnacentral:rRNA from 1 species
AGAGUUUGAUCCUGGCUCAGGAUGAACGCUGGCGGCAUGCCUAAUACAUGCAAGUCGAACGAGAGGAAGGAAAGCUUGCUUUCCUGAAUCUAGUGGCGAACGGGUGAGUAACACGUAGGUAACCUGCCCAUGUGCCCGGGAUAACUUCUGGAAACGGAUGCUAAAACCGGAUAGGUAGCAGACAAGCAUUUGACUGCUAUUAAAGUGGCCUUGGCCAUGAACAUGGAUGGACCUGCGGUGCAUUAGCUAGUUGGUGAGGUAACGGCCCACCAAGGCGACGAUGCAUAGCCGGCCUGAGAGGGCGGACGGCCACAUUGGGACUGAGACACGGCCCAAACUCCUACGGGAGGCAGCAGUAGGGAAUUUUCGUCAAUGGGGGGAACCCUGAACGAGCAAUGCCGCGUGAGUGAGGAAGGUCUUCGGAUCGUAAAGCUCUGUUGUAAGAGAAAAACGGCACUCAUAGGGAAUGAUGAGUGAGUGAUGGUAUCUUACCAGAAAGUCACGGCUAACUACGUGCCAGCAGCCGCGGUAAUACGUAGGUGGCGAGCGUUAUCCGGAAUGAUUGGGCGUAAAGGGUGCGUAGGUGGCAGAUCAAGUCUGGAGUAAAAGGUAUGGGCUCAACCCGUACUGGCUCUGGAAACUGAUCAGCUAGAGAACAGAAGAGGACGGCGGAACUCCAUGUGUAGCGGUAAAAUGCGUAGAUAUAUGGAAGAACACCGGUGGCGAAGGCGGCCGUCUGGUCUGGAUUCUGACACUGAAGCACGAAAGCGUGGGGAGCAAAUAGGAUUAGAUACCCUAGUAGUCCACGCCGUAAACGAUGAGAACUAGGUGUUGGGGGAAUAACUCAGUGCCGCAGUUAACGCAGUAAGUUCUCCGCCUGGGGAGUAUGC